rnacentral:misc_RNA from 1 species
GAUGAAGAACGCAGCGAAAUGCGAUAAGUAGUGUGAAUUGCAGAAUUCAGUGAAUCAUCGAAUCUUUGAACGCACAUUGCGCCCUUUGGUAUUCCUUAGGGCAUGCCUGUUCGAGCGUCAUUUAAACCUUCAAGCUCAGCUUGGUGUUGGGUGACUGUCCGCUUCACCGCGGACUCGCCUCAAAAUUAUUGGCGGCCGGUACAUUGGCUUCGAGCGCAGCAGAAACGCGAACUCGGGCCCGUCGUAUUGGCUCCCAGAAGCUAUCUUCACAAUUUUGACCUCGGAUCAGGUAGGGAUACCCGCUGAACUUAAGCAUAUCAAUAAGCGGAGGU